rnacentral:tRNA from 1 species
GGGGAUUUAGCUCAGUGGUAGAGCGCUUGCCUAGCAACAGCAAGGCCCCUGGGUUCAGUCCCCA